UACGGAGGGGGCUAGCGUUGUUCGGAAUUACUGGGCGUAAAGCGCACGUAGGCGGCUUUGUAAGUUAGAGGUGAAAGCCCAGGGCUUAACCCUGGAAUUGCCUUUAAGACUGCAUCGCUAGAAUCGUGGAGAGGUAAGUGGAAUUCCGAGUGUAGAGGUGAAAUUCGUAGAUAUUCGGAAGAACACCAGUGGCGAAGGCGACUCACUGGCCCGAUACUGACGCUGAUGCGCGAAAGCGUGGGGAGCAAACAGG
rnacentral:rRNA from 1 species